rnacentral:rRNA from 1 species
ACAUGCCUACAACAUAGAUUUAAUGCACCAGAUCCCAUUAGAACUUCGCAGUUAAAUGCGCUCGGGCUAAAGUAGUAUUGGGAUGGGUUGACACCCAAGAAGUCCUAGUAUUUUACAUGCC